AUUGAACCCUGGCGGAAUGCUUUACACAUGCAAGUCGAACGGUAGAGGGGGCAACCCCUCGAGAGUGGCGAACGGGUGAGUAAUAUAUCGGAACGUGCCCAGUCGUGGGGGAUAACGUAGCGAAAGUUACGCUAAUACCGCAUACGAUCUAAGGAUGAAAGCGGGGGAUCGCAAGACCUCGCGCGAUUGGAGCGGCCGAUAUCAGAUUAGGUAGUUGGUGGGGUAAAGGCUCACCAAGCCAACGAUCUGUAGCUGGUCUGAGAGGACGACCAGCCACACUGGAACUGAGACACGGUCCAGACUCCUACGGGAGGCAGCAGUGGGGAAUUUUGGACAAUGAACGCAAGUCUGAUCCAGCCAUUCCGCGUGCAGGAUGAAGGCCCUCGGGUUGUAAACUGCUUUUGUACGGAACGAAAAGGUCUCUCUUAAUACGGGGGACUCAUGACGGUACCGUAAGAAUAAGCACCGGCUAACUACGUGCCAGCAGCCGCCGUAAAAC
rnacentral:rRNA from 1 species